rnacentral:lncRNA from 1 species
GCCGGAGUUUCAUAAGUUCUAAGAGUUGGGAGUCAAUAUCGCAGCAGUCAGGAAGUAUUGUCUUAGUCAGAUUCAGAAAAAUUCUUCCUUCCAAGUCACGACAAGUACAUUCCCAAAAAUCCAUAUUGAAGUCAAGAGAAGAGAGAGUGCUUGCUACCCUUCGAAGACCAAACUUGGGAGAAAAUAAACGAUUUUGUCUUGGGGCGACAGGAAUUUGUGUCUCUUAGCAACUGAACAAUGAGUAAAGACAAUAAUGACGUAAAAGACGGAAUAGGUCACAUUCCAAGUGACGUGAAUAAUUAGUUAUUGUAAUGGAACAGGCUCUGUCAACAUACUCUUGCUGAAACAUGUAAUGUAUGCAGAUAUUACACAGCUGUGUAAAGUUUACACUUACAGUAUUUGCCCAUUUAUUACAUCACGUCAUGUAGAGGUCUCAGCAUAACCCCAUGGUACAUUAUGCAAUCUAUCAUCUUCCAUUUUAUGCAUUAUUGAAAUGCAAACACUAUUCUAUAUGUUGGUCAGCCUCCAGUAUUUAUGCUGCAAUAGUUUAUAUGUCGGGGGUCAGUCUGUUAUAUCUGGAGUAUUUCUCCUGUCAUAUCCGGUGUCCUGUUUGAAUUUAAGUAUGCUCUCUAAUUCUCUCGCUCUUUUUCUCGCUCUUUUUCUCUUUCUUUCUCUCUUUCUCUCUUUCUUUCUUUCUUUCUUUCUUUCUUUCUUUCUUUCUUUCUUUCUUUCUUUCUCUCUCUCGGAGGACCUAAGCCCUAGGACCAUGCCUCAGGACUACCUGGCCUGAUGACUACUUGCUGUCCCCAGUUGACCUGGUUGCGCUGCUGCUCCAGUUUCAGCUGUUCGGCCUGUGGCUAUGGAACCCUGACCUGUUCACCGGACGUGCUACCUGUCCCAGACCUGUUGUUUUCAACUCUCUAGAAACAGCAGGUGCGGUAGAGAUACUCUGAAUGAUCGACUAUGAAAAGCCAACCGACAUUUACUACUGAGGCUUACUUACAGCUGGCAAUCAUUAUGGACAUCCAGCACCUGAAACAGGAAGACGGAGGACGACUCAGAGACGACUAAGGGAAAUUAAUAUUUCAAAUGCAACAAAUAAAGACACCUCCAACCAGC